CAUCAUGGAAUAGGGAUUAUAAAUUCGAAUUCUGUCAUAUGAGAAUAUAUUCAUGUAAUGCUUAAGAAAAUUUGUAAAUGAGUUCCAAUAGCUUAUGGAAUAGGGACCCAAUUUUAUGGGGUUCCAGUGGCUUCUGUAUUGAUUAUUUAGCUUAAUCUUUCUAUCUACCCAAUGGGACUCAAUGCUCAGUCUAGAAGAUACCAUCAAAGAUACUUAGUUUUGCAGUUCUCAAACUCUGGUUUUGUCUCCAGAGAUAACAUGCUUGUUAACAGCAAAAAUGUUUUAAAAUAAAUAUAUAUAGAGGUGAGAAAUAACAGACCUCAACCCUAUUGUCCCUCUGCAAAUUUGUGUACACGGAGUCAAUCUCUUACCUUUCUCUAAAAAUGCAAACUUUUCAAAAAGUUCAGUGAAUAGAAGAUUUGGACAAAUAAAUCUGGACAAAGAGGAGAAGUCUGGAGAUAAAUGUGAGAAGGGAUGGACAGGCAGUAGAAACAAAUGUGAAACUGUUUGAGAAGCAUAUUCCAGAAGUCUUGUGGUCUUUCAGUGUACCUUCGUUGAUUUGGGAUCUACCAUACCAUUCUCUCACUCAAAGGGAAAACCUAUAAUGGUAGCAGGUUGUAAGAGAGACCCAAUCUGGGAAUAUUUUAAUGAAGUUCCUCUACCUGUGGGUAAGACCGGCAUGCGUGCAAAAUGCAAACAGUGCAACAAAGAAAUGCAAGCCCUAGUUGUCUGAAUGAAACAACAUUAUGAGAAGCGUUCCUUCUCAGGAGAAAACUGCUUUGAAGAUGAUGAAAGGAACAUGUCUGAACAUGCAGGAUCUUCAGGAGAAUCCAUCGUCAACAUACAGGAUACUGAAGACUAUCAACCUUCAAGAUCACCAUCAUUUUCUAUAGUUUCAGAGUUAUCUGCCAGUGAGAGUGUUUCAGUCACAUCAUGUAUGUCAGAUAGCCACAGUAUGUCACCUGUAGCAAAAAGAGAAAAAAAAAAAAAAACUCCAUCAUCCAAAAAAAACCAACCAUAGAUAAGUUUGUGAUAAGAACCAGCAGAUUACAAAAAGAGGUGAUUGAUUGAUUGGAAAAAUUGCCGGUUUGUUUAUG